rnacentral:lncRNA from 1 species
CUGCUAUUAAAUGCCAGAGAGGAGGGAGGAGGAGAGGAGCUUGCCGUCGGACGUCGCUCGGCGCCGGAGAGGACAAGGGUCGGCCACUCAUCGUCGGAGAGGAGGGAGGAGGAGAGGAGCUUGCCAUCGAACGUCGCUCGGCACCGGAGAAGACAAGGGUCAGCCACUCGUCGUCGGAAAGGAGGGAGGAGGAGAGGAGCUUGCCGUCAGACGUCGCUCAGCGCCGGAGAGGAUAAGGGUCGGCCGCUCGUCGUCGGA